rnacentral:miRNA from 1 species
GGUUGGCCACCUGUCCUGGUUUGCCUGGGGCUGAGGGCUUGCCCAGGUCACG